rnacentral:rRNA from 1 species
UACGUAGGGUGCAAGCGUUAAUCGGAAUUAUUGGGCGUAAAGAGCUCGUAGGCGGUUUGUCGCGUCUGCCGUGAAAGUCCGGGGCUCAACUCCGGAUCUGCGGUGGGUACGGGCAGACUAGAGUGAUGUAGGGGAGACUGGAAUUCCUGGUGUAGCGGUGAAAUGCGCAGAUAUCAGGAGGAACACCGAUGGCGAAGGCAGGUCUCUGGGCAUUAACUGACGCUGAGGAGCGAAAGCAUGGGGAGCGAACAGG